rnacentral:rRNA from 1 species
UGGGGAAUAUUGGACAAUGGGCGGAAGCCUGAUCCAGCCAUGCCGCGUGUGUGAAGAAGGCCUUAUGGUUGUAAAGCACUUUAAGCGAGGAGGAGGCUACUUUAGUUAAUACCUAGAGAUAGUGGACGUUACUCGCAGAAUAAGCACCGGCUAACUCUGUGCCAGCAGCCGCGGUAAUACAGAGGGUGCAAGCGUUAAUCGGAUUUACUGGGCGUAAAGCGCGCGUAGGCGGCUAAUUAAGUCAAAUGU